GGUUAAGCGACUAAGCGUACACGGUGGAUGCCCUGGCAGUCAGAGGCGAUGAAGGACGUGCUAAUCUGCGAUAAGCGUCGGUAAGGUGAUAUGAACCGUUAUAACCGGCGAUUUCCGAAUGGGGAAACCCAGUGUGAUUCGUCACACUAUCAUUAACUGAAUCCAUAGGUUAAUGAGGCGAACCGGGGGAACUGAAACAUCUAAGUACCCCGAGGAAAAGAAAUCAACCGAGAUUCCCCCAGUAGCGGCGAGCGAACGGGGAGCAGCCCAGAGCCUGAAUCAGUGUGUGUGUUAGUGGAAGCGUCUGGAAAGGCGUGCGAUACAGGGUGACAGCCCCGUACACAAAAAUGCACAUACUGUGAGCUCGAUGAGUAGGGCGGGACACGUGGUAUCCUGUCUGAAUAUGGGGGGACCAUCCUCCAAGGCUAAAUACUCCUGACUGACCGAUAGUGAACCAGUACCGUGAGGGAAAGGCGAAAAGAACCCCGGCGAGGGGAGUGAAAAAGAACCUGAAACCGUGUACGUACAAGCAGUGGGAGCACGCUUAGGCGUGUGACUGCGUACCUUUUGUAUAAUGGGUCAGCGACUUAUAUUCUGUAGCAAGGUUAACCGAAUAGGGGAGCCGAAGGGAAACCGAGUCUUAACUGGGCGUUAAGUUGCAGGGUAUAGACCCGAAACCCGGUGAUCUAGCCAUGGGCAGGUUGAAGGUUGGGUAACACUAACUGGAGGACCGAACCGACUAAUGUUGAAAAAUUAGCGGAUGACUUGUGGCUGGGGGUGAAAGGCCAAUCAAACCGGGAGAUAGCUGGUUCUCCCCGAAAGCUAUUUAGGUAGCGCCUCGUGAAUUCAUCUCCGGGGGUAGAGCACUGUUUCGGCAAGGGGGUCAUCCCGACUUACCAACCCGAUGCAAACUGCGAAUACCGGAGAAUGUUAUCACGGGAGACACACGGCGGGUGCUAACGUCCGUCGUGAAGAGGGAAACAACCCAGACCGCCAGCUAAGGUCCCAAAGUCAUGGUUA
rnacentral:rRNA from 1 species